GAGUGUAAGGGCGCUGAGGCUCACAGCAUCCACACACACACACACACACACACACACGUCAACAGAAACAAACAAGAAAGAAAUAAACAUCAGUUGCUUUCUGCCUCACUACUCGUCAUCUCUCUCCUCGCUCCUUCUCUCUCUCUCUCUCUCUCUCUCUCUCGCUCCUUCUCUCUCUCUCUCUCUCUCUCGCUCCUUCUCUCUUUUUCUCUUUUACCCUCUCAGUCCUUUGCAAGCUGUAGAGUUCUGCAGGGUGUCAGAACUUCCUCACAGCUUGCUCUCGUUUUCUCUCUCUCCUGUCUGGAGAGAUCAGAGGGAAAGAUAAAGAUAGAGAGAGCGAGACAGAGAGAGGGAGAGGCAGAAAGAAAGAGUGAGAGAGAGAGAGAGAGAGAGAGAGAGAGAGAGAGAGAGAGACUCCCAUCCCUCACCUCACAAAAGAAAGCAAAUAUGAAACACUUUUCAAGCGAUCAGCUAAGACAUGUUUGAUGUCUGGAAUGUGCUUCGUCUCUGCCACGCAGGAGUUAUGAGGAUAACUAAGCUACAAAGUAAAGGAGUAAGCUCAUCGCUACCGGUUUAGCCUCAUUAGGCCUCGUUCAUCAAACUGGACACGAACAGAUUUAAUCAUGAAACGCUGGCGUUUGUGAAAACCGCGCCCCGGGUUCUGCUCCCGAGUUUAUCCGAAUUUAGGUGUCACGUGAUCCUCGAGCGUUUCGCUUGAAAUCGACGAGUUGUUGCUACGACGUUUAAAUCGGACAUUUCGAAAACGUCGAGAAAGCGCUUGGUAAUUUAGAGCCGAUUGAUAUCCAUCAACGUACACACACGUGUAAAACAACGACGACAACAAACAGCGCUACGGAAACGUGUGAAUCUGGAGGUCAUUUUGAGCUCGGACGACGUUCACACGCGGCUUUGUUAAACGGCCGAUAAUCGAGACCUUUAUUGUUUCCGCGGAUCGCUGUAACCCCGUCUGAUGGUCACGUGCGGGGAAAUAAAAAUGCGCUGCACUCGAAAAUUCCAACUCGUCGAAAAACCUGCACGUGCGAAAUGACCACUCGACGCCAAUCCACCCCGUGAGUGUGUACCGGAUUGAACCUGCAGUCGCUAUGAUGCUAAACUGGUAGCUAUACCUCUCCCCUUAAUUGUUAGCUAGAUCAGCUUCAGACUCAACAGGUUCCUGUUCCUUAAGUGUAGAAACCAUCGACUUCAUCUGACACACACACACACACACACGGCCAGACUUGUACAGUAAGAUACUCACAAACCCCUGACACAGCUGCUGUCUUUAAGGAGCGGCACAAACAUCUGAAAGAAGGUGCUGGCUCUGAUUACUGUAAACGCUGAAGACUGACACGUUCACGUUCACGUUACAGAGACGUGAUGGUUUACAGAUGCAGUAACGUGUGUGUGUGGAAAAGGUUCCUGUGGAAAAAAUCUGCAACUCAUUCACUUUUACAGAGGCUCACCUGCAGCUGUGUGUGUCUGUGUGUGUGCAGAUGUGAGAAAGGGCGUGAGAGAGACUCUACUGUCCUCUAAUGGUGAAAUUCUGCCAGUGCAGCCUGAGGCAGAGGAUUUAAUACAGAGACGGCAUGGAUCUGACGUCCGGUAUCCUUAAGAUGGUGAUACCAAGCGACAAAAGGUGGAUCGCAUUUCCAGGGAAAAUAUAUCGGAUAUCGGAUCAUUCAUCUAUCAUCUUAUUAGUCUUUUUAUUUUUAAAUUGUCUCUUGCUUUUAUGUGACAUCGUGAUAUUUAUGUGACAAAAAAAAAACACGCUAUUUCUUUCUUCAGUCCGUAUUUUUUAUCCCUUAUUUUUUCCGGGAUUAAAUGCGAGUGCUUGUGAGACGGUAAUGGAUAACCCCGUCUCGGAAUAACCUCGGGCGCUUCUGGUCCAGGAAUGCGGGUGAUCUGCACGGUCCGAACGUGCAAACGUAGCCGUGUAAAUACUGACGUUCGGACUCCCGAGUCGCCGAGCGAAUACGAACCUGUGUGAUCGUUGUAACGUGACAGGACACGUUUAGAAAAACAAUGCAAUGACAUCGCUCAUCAAUUUAAAAACAAAAAGGACAAGAAAAAGAAAAAAAAGAAAAAAAAAAGAAUGCCAUGAAGUGAAACAAAGCUGUCUUUCUUCACAUCUUUUUAUUUAAUGAAAUGUCAUUAACCGUGGUACAAUCGCUACACAGUUCCAGGAACUUCAAAUUAAAGCCAGUGAAAAUAAAUCACCGUGACGCUAUCUCGUGUGCUUCUAAUGAGAAACGCACGGCUACGCGACGUCGUCGGGUCGGUCACGGAACGACGGUCGGAUACGGCGUGUGCCUCGAGAAUCUAAGACAAUUACGUGCCAUCGGUUUUAUUUACAAACAUACAAGUACGUACAGACGUACGAGACGAAACGGACAUCGGCUACAGCUCACGUCGUCAUGGCGAUCGCGAACACUCAAAACGCUGUCUUCCGGGCUAACGUUUAUCCGUCGCGUCCGCGGUGUAUGUGUGAGGAACAGAGACGGAAACAAAUGACUUCAAACGGGCGUUUAAGGGAAAUUUUUUGGAAUUGGAUUCAUUUAAACGAGGAUGAAAAAGCUCCAGCGUCACGUCCAGAGUUAAUGGGCCUGGCUAAAAAGCGCUAGCUGACGUAACAUAAAUAUACGUCUUGAGCUGGUUUGCUAGUUAACGUGAAUUCAUACACAAUUAAGGGGACAUGAACAUGUAGCGCAACCUGGUGUUUCGUCCUUGCGUCGCACGUUAAGACAAAAAAGAAAGACGUUAUUCGUCGCUGACUAGCGCCUUGAUUUUCUCUCGCCGUGUGAAAACGCGAGGCGACUGUGUGUACGUGAGACGAGCAAUACGACAGCUUCGCAAUAGAUAAGAUAAAGAUAAGAUGCGUGUAGCGCGGCAGGCGGUGCCUGUUGAACCCGAUCCUGCAGAUGUGUCUAUGAACGUGUCCGUACGGCUGUAAAAGUCGUCCUUUCGGAGAUGGUUACGGUCGUAUUAGCAUAGCUCGACCCAAACACAUUGUUUAUAAAUAAGAGAAAUUCUUGUCUGCACUAAACACACGUACGUCACAGAGAUUAGCAUUUCGAAACCUAGCGGGUGCCGGUUAAUGCUAAAUUAAACAAGACUACCCGCUAACCGGUUCAGUGUUAGACACGUUAGCAUAUCGGAGAUAAAUAUUCCUUUGAGUGGUCUAGAUGUAAAUUGGGACCACUGCCUUCUAAGGUACGUUGGACAAAUAUAAAAGUCAACAAAACUCAAACGUGCGUGUUUACAAAAUCGCCAUCUCGGCUGAUGUCGCUAACAUCACUGUAUCUGAGGAACGUGAUACUGCCGUCUUAUAUAAUCGCUUCCUUUCUAUCUCUCUCGCUCUCCCUCUCCCUCUCACACACACACACACACACACACAAACUCACACACAGAAAUCGUAGCACAUCCUGUGGAAGCCUGAUGCAUACACCCGUAAAUUUAAUUAUUUAUUUCUCUACUAUUACGACAGAAUAUGAAUUUCACUGCUAUAAUUUUUAUAAUUAUCACGUCUCCUACCACAAAAGAAAAAAAACCUUUCAAAUGGUUUUCGAUCUCAUGUUCAAUUUUUCGUUUAAGAGUUUUGGGAUUCUCCCCUAUUUUCUCCCUAAUUUACUCUUGGCCAAUUCCCACCCACCAGCCAGCUCUCCCCUAUCGUGCGACGGCUCCAACACGUGCUUCCUCCGAGACACGUGAAGCCGGCCGACUGCUGUCCGCCGUCUUCCCCAUACAUGUACGUGUACUGAUUGACAGGUGGGAGAGAGAGAGAGAGAGAGAGAGAGAGAGUAAGCCCCUCCCACACAGACACCACGAUUCAGCCUCUUGCUCAGGCACGCCGGCGAGUGCUUUCUGUCGCGUCGCUCAGGAGCUGAUCGUUCACACAAACACAUUUCGUUAGACUCGCAUCAGACGAACGGUGUAGAAAACGGGAUCUUAAACAAUCCAGUGUGCGAUUUUUUGUUCUGCCUCCUAGUUUUACUAGAAUAGUGAAACUUGUUCUUUG
ensembl:lncRNA